rnacentral:sRNA from 1 species
UGGAGUGGGAAUAAAAAGCCAACAUAAUAAGGAUGGGGAAUGCCGAUAAAUCAACGUUUUUCAACUUAUGAAAUGCUUGAUUUCCAUUGAAAAUGAUAUGGUUCCCUACCAUUUUCCCUGCCAAGUAAUCACUUGACAGGGAUUUAUU